UACGUAGGGGGCAAGCGUUGUCCGGAUUUAUUGGGCGUAAAGAGCUCGUAGGUGGUUUGGUAAGUCGGAUGUGAAAACUCCAGGCUCAACCUGGAGACGCCACCCGAUACUGCGAUGACUAGAGUCCGGUAGGGGAGUGUGGAAUUCCUGGUGUAGCGGUGAAAUGCGUAGAUAUCGAGAGGAACACCUGCGGCGAAGGCGGGUUGCUGGGCUGACACUGACGCUGAGGCGCGAAAGCUAGGGGAGCGAACGGG
rnacentral:rRNA from 1 species